UACGAAGGGGGCUAGCGUUGCUCGGAAUCACUGGGCGUAAAGGGUGCGUAGGCGGGUUUUUAAGUCAGGGGUGAAAUCCUGGAGCUCAACUCCAGAACUGCCUUUGAUACUGAAGAUCUUGAGUCCGGGAGAGGUGAGUGGAACGGCGAGUGUAGAGGUGAAAUUCGCAGAUAUUCGCAAGAACACCAGUGGCGAAGGCGGCUCACUGGUCCGGUACUGACGCUGAGGUGCGAAAGCGUGGGGAGCAAACAGG
rnacentral:rRNA from 1 species